rnacentral:pre_miRNA from 1 species
CUGUACAUGUCGUGCUUCAAUACCACGGGUGAUAUUGAGCAACGAAUAUGUGCGGGA